AGGGUUUGAUCAUGGCUCAGGAUGAACGCUAGCGGCAGGCUUAACACAUGCAAGUCGAGGGGUAACAGAAAGUGCUUGCACUUUGCUGACGACCGGCGCACGGGUGCGUAACGCGUAUGCAACCUACCUUCUACAGGGGGAUAGUCAAUAGAAAUGUUGAAUAAUACCCCAUACGAUCUUCAAGAGGCAUUACUUGAAGAAGAAAGCUCCGGCGGUAGAAGAUGGGCAUGCGUCCUAUUAGUUAGUUGGUGAGGUAACGGCUCACCAAGACUACGAUAGGUAGGGGCCCUGAGAGGGGGAUCCCCCACACUGGUACUGAGACACGGACCAGACUCCUACGGGAGGCAGCAGUGAGGAAUAUUGGACAAUGGAGGCAACUCUGAUCCAGCCAUGCCGCGUGCAGGAAGACUGCCCUAUGGGUUGUAAACUGCUUUUAUACAGGAAGAAACCUACUUACGUGUAAGUAGCUGACGGUACUGUAAGAAUAAGGAUCGGCUAACUCCGUGCCAGCAGCCGCGGUAAUUC
rnacentral:rRNA from 1 species